AACGCGAAGAACCUUACCUGGCCUUGACAUCCAGAGAACUUAGCAGAGAUGCUUUGGUGCCUUCGGGAACUCUGAGACAGGUGCUGCAUGGCUGUCGUCAGCUCGUGUUGUGAAAUGUUGGGUUAAGUCCCGCAACGAGCGCAACCUUUAUCCUUUGUUGCCAGCGGCUCGGCCGGGAACUCAAAGGAGACUGCCGGUGAUAAACCGGAGGAAGGUGGGGAUGACGUCAAGUCAUCAUGGCCCUUACGGCCAGGGCUACACACGUGCUACAAUGGCGCAUACAAAGAGAAGCGACCUCGCGAGAGCAAGCGGACCUCAUAAAGUGCGUCGUAGUCCGGAUUGGAGUCUGCAACUCGACUCCAUGAAGUCGGAAUCGCUAGUAAUCGUAGAUCAGAAUGCUACGGUGAAUACGUUCCC
rnacentral:rRNA from 1 species